rnacentral:rRNA from 1 species
GACGAACGCUGGCGGCGUGCUUAACACAUGCAAGUCGAACGAUGAAGCCGGAGCUUGCUCUGGUGAAUUAGUGGCGAACGGGUGAGUAACACGUGGGUAACCUGCCCUUGACUCUGGGAUAACUGCUAGAAAUGGUAGCUAAUACCGGAUACGACCCUCGGAGGCAUCUCCAGGGGGUGGAAAGAAUUUCGGUCAAGGAUGGAAUCGCGGCCUAUCAGCUAGUUGGUGAGGUAACGGCUCACAAAGGCGACGACGGGUAGCCGGCCUGAGAGGGUAACCGGGCACACUGGAGCUGAGACACGGCCCAGACGCCUACGGGGGGCAGCAGUGGGGAAUAUUGCACAAUGGGCGCAAGCCUGAUGCAGCAACGCCGCGUGAGGGAUGACGUCCUUCGGGUUGUAAACCUCUUUUAGUAGGGAAGAAGCGAAAGUGACGGUACCUGCAGAAAAAGCACCGGCUAACUACGUGCCAGCCGCCGCUGUAA